rnacentral:lncRNA from 1 species
UAUGUGUAAAGGACCUUUUUAGGUUUGUAUGAGGGUUCUGGCCAAGUGCUCAACCAAAGAGGGGCAAGCCUAAGCCAAGGGCCAAGGCUGCCCAACUUGGUGAAGACACUGCCUCAAGGACUACGACCACUUUCACGGCCAGUGGUCUUGACCACGGCUCGUGAAAGGGCUCGUGGAAGUCCCUUAGGCGUGUGGGAAGCAUGUCAAGUUGGCC